rnacentral:rRNA from 1 species
UACGGGGGGGGCAAGCGUUGUUCGGAAUUACUGGGCGUAAAGAGCGCGCAGGCGGCUGGUCAAGUCCGAUGUGAAAUCUCCCGGCUUAACUGGGAAACUGCAUCGGAAACUGAUCGGCUUGAAGGUGGGAGAGGGUAGUGGAAUUCCCGGUGUAGUGGUGAAAUGCGUAGAUAUCGGGAGGAACACCAGUGGCGAAGGCGACUACCUGGCCCAUUCUUGACGCUGAGGCGCGAAAGCUAGGGGAGCGAACGGG